rnacentral:rRNA from 1 species
UACGAAGGGUGCGAGCGUUGUCCGGAAUUAUUGGGCGUAAAGAGCUCGUAGGCGGUGUGUCACGUCGGCCGUGAAAACCUGCAGCUUAACUGUGGGCGUGCGGGCGAUACGGGCAGACUGGAGUACUGCAGGGGAGACUGGAAUUCCUGGUGUAGCGGUGGAAUGCGCAGAUAUCGGGAGGAACACCAAUGGCGAAGGCAGCUCGCUGGGACGGUACUGACGCUGAGACGCGAAAGCGUGGGGAGCAAACAGG